rnacentral:rRNA from 1 species
GACGAACGCUGGCGGCGUGCUUAACACAUGCAAGUCGAACGAAGAGCGACGGAAGCUUGCUUCUAUCAAUCUUAGUGGCGAACGGGUGAGUAACGCGUAAUCAACCUGCCCUUCAGAGGGGGACAACAGUUGGAAACGACUGCUAAUACCGCAUACGAUCUAACCUCGGCAUCGAGGAUAGAUGAAAGGUGGCCUCUACAUGUAAGCUAUCACUGAAGGAGGGGAUUGCGUCUGAUUAGCUAGUUGGAGGGGUAACGGCCCACCAAGGCGAUGAUCAGUAGCCGGUCUGAGAGGAUGAGCGGCCACAUUGGGACUGAGACACGGCCCAGACGCCUACGGGAGGCAGCAGUGGGGAAUCUUCCGCAAUGGACGAAAGUCUGACGGAGCAACGCCGCGUGAGUGAUGACGGCCUUCGGGUUGUAAAGCUCUGUUAAUCGGGACGAAAGGCCUUCUUGCGAAUAGUGAGAAGGAUUGACGGUACCGGAAUAGAAAGCCACGGCUAACUACGUG